GAUUUGCAGGGCCUCCAGGGAGACAAGGACCUGCAGGUGAAAAAGGAAUCAAAGGCUCGGCAGGAGAUCCAGGCACUGAUGGAGAAAAAGGACAAAGAGGUAAGUUGUGUACUUAUAGUAAAUUAUUUGAGAAGACUUCAUUGUAUUGAUUUAAACUUCAUCAUAUUGAUUUUGCUAUUAAUUCUAAGGUGACCAAGGAUCAAUUGGGUUGCCAGGAAUCAGAGGCCCAGCUGGGCCACCUGGUGAACCUGGACCUCCAGGAGUACCAGGGCUUCAAGGACCACCAGGAAUUGCAGGAAUUCCAGGCCAGCCUGGCAUUAAAGGUGACACUGGAGAACCUGGCAGAGUUAUUAAUGCUGCAGUGGGAUCUAGCUCUAUAGCAAUCCCUGGACCACCUGGACCCCCUGGACCAACUGGACAAACUGGAGCUCCAGGAUUGUCAGGUCCUGUUGGCCCUGCUGGUCUUCCUGGACAACCUGGUCCUAAAGGUGAAAAAGGUGAUCAAGGAGAAGCUGGAAUCUCAGUGGAAACCAGGGAGACAGUCAGCUCCACUAGAUCUGAGAGUAAAUGCCUCUAA
rnacentral:lncRNA from 1 species